AUACGUAGGGGACAAGCGUUAUCCGGAUUUACUGGGCGUAAAGGGCGUGUAGGCGGUCUUGCAAGUCAGAAGUGAAAUUCCUGGGCUCAACUCGGGCGCUGCUUCUGAAACUGCAGGACUUGAGUGCUGGAGGGGGUAGCGGAAUUCCUGGUGGAGCGGUUAAAUGCGUAGAUAUUAGAAGGAACACCAGUGGCGAAGGCGGCUUGCUGGGCUGUUACUGACGCUGAGACACGAAAGCGUGGGGAGCAAAUAGGAUUAGAUACCCUAGUAGUCCACGCCGUAAACGAUGAGUACUAAGUGUCGGGUAACCGGUGCUGAAGUUAACACAUUAAGUACUCCGCCUGAGUAGUACGGUCGCAAGGCUGAAACUCAAAUGAAUUGGCGGGG
rnacentral:rRNA from 1 species